GACGAACGCUGGCGGCGUGCUUAACACAUGCAAGUCGAACGGAAAGACCCUGCUUUUGUGGGGUGCUCGAGUGGCGAACGGGUGAGUAACACGUGAGUAACCUGCCCUUGACUUUGGGAUAACUUCAGGAAACUGGGGCUAAUACCGGAUAGGAGCUCCUGCUGCAUGGUGGGGGUUGGAAAGUUUCGGCGGUUGGGGAUGGACUCGCGGCUUAUCAGCUUGUUGGUGGGGUAGUGGCUUACCAAGGCUUUGACGGGUAGCCGGCCUGAGAGGGUGACCGGCCACAAUGGGACUGAGAUACGGACCAGACUCCUACGGGAGGCAGCAGUGGGGAAUAUUGCACAAUGGGCGGAAGCCUGAUGCAGCAACGCCGCGUGCGGGAUGACGGCCUUCGGGUUGUAAACCGCUUUCGCCUGUGACGAAGCGUGAGUGACGGUAAUGGGUAAAGAAGCACCGGCUAACUACGUG
rnacentral:rRNA from 1 species